rnacentral:rRNA from 1 species
UACGUAGGGGGCUAGCGUUGUCCGGAAUCAUUGGGCGUAAAGAGCGUGUAGGCGGCUUGGUAAGUCCGCUGUGAAAGUCCAGGGCUCAACCCUGGAAAGCCAGUGGGAACUGUCAAGCUAGAGUCCGGGAAGAGGCGAGUGGAACUCCUGGUGUAGCGGUGAAAUGCGCAGAUAUCAGGAAGAACACCAAUGGCGAAGGCAGCUCGCUGGGACGGUAACUGACGCUGAGACGCGAAAGCGUGGGGAGCAAACAGG